rnacentral:rRNA from 1 species
AUGCUGCAAACAGUCAAAUCUGAACCUUGUCGCUCUUCUUUCCUUGUGGGCAGGAAGCAGACCAGCAACGUGUGUUGCGUGAUUCCACUGUGUUUUUUGCAUUUGACUGAUCCUUCAGUAGAGAAGACUUCAACGAAAGAAAUCUGGGACAGAUUUGAGAAAAUCAAUGAAGGUGUGCCAACACAGAAAGAGACACAAAUUGAUAUUCUUCGGUCGAGGUUUAACCACUUCAAGAGAAUCAUGAAAGAAAAUUGUCAAUAA